rnacentral:rRNA from 1 species
GACGAACGCUGGCGGCGUGCCUAAUACAUGCAAGUCGAACGAGAGCGACCGGUGCUUGCACUGGUCAAUCUAGUGGCGAACGGGUGAGUAACACGUGGGUAACCUGCCCAUCAGAGGGGGAUAACAUCCGGAAACGGAUGCUAAAACCGCAUAGGUCUUCGAGCCGCAUGGCUUGAAGAGGAAAAGAGGCGCAAGCUUCUGCUGAUGGACGGACCCGCGGUGCAUUAGCUAGUUGGUGAGGUAAAGGCUCACCAAGGCCGGGAUGCAUAGCCGACCUGAGAGGGUGAUCGGCCACAUUGGGACUGAGACACGGCCCAAACUCCUACGGGAGGCAGCAGUAGGGAACCUUCCGCAAUGGACGCAAGUCUGACGGAGCAACGCCGCGUGAGUGAAGAAGGUGUUCGGAUCGUAAAGCUCUGUUGUUAGAGAAGAACAAGUGCUAGAGUAACUGUUAGCGCCUUGACGGUAUCUAAACAGAAAGCCACGGCUAACUACGUG